UACGUAGGGUCCAAGCGUUGUCCGGAAUUAUUGGGCGUAAAGAGCUCGUAGGCGGUCCAUUAAGUCGGGAGUGAAAUCUCAGGGCUCAACCCUGAAACCGCUCUCGAUACUGGUGGACUUGAGGCAGGUAGGGGAAGGUGGAAUUCCUGGUGUAGCGGUGAAAUGCGCAGAUAUCAGGAGGAACACCAGUGGCGAAGGCGGCCUUCUGGGCCUGUCCUGACGCUGAGGAGCGAAAGCGUGGGGAGCGAACAGG
rnacentral:ncRNA from 2 species